rnacentral:rRNA from 1 species
UACGAAGGGUGCAAGCGUUAAUCGGAAUUACUGGGCGUAAAGCGUGCGUAGGCGGUUGGCCAAGUCAGAUGUGAAAGCCCUGGGCUCAACCUGGGAAUGGCAUUUGAAACUGGUCGGCUAGAGUGCGGUAGAGGAUGGCGGAAUUCCCGGUGUAGCGGUGAAAUGCGUAGAGAUCGGGAGGAACAUCCGUGGCGAAGGCGGCCUGCUGGGACGUGGCUGACGCUGAGACGCGAAAGCGUGGGGAGCGAACAGG